rnacentral:lncRNA from 1 species
GUUUCACCAUCAGCUGAGAACAAACAUGAACAAAUCAAGCUAUGCAGAACUAAUAGGAAGAAAGUCACUCUGCAAGUAAUAAAAAGAUGUGUUUGUGAAUGUGUUGCAUUUGUUUUUGUGCAGAGUUACAGGAGGAAAGGAUGUGGAAACAUAACGGAAGCAAAAGAAAAACAAUCACUGAACUGACACAGUAACUUAUUUCAAUUUAACACAGGGAGAAUCAUCUUUGUUGUUCUAAGGAUGCCAAAAUUCAGUGACAAACAAUCCAAGAUGGAGGCUGUCAAAGUUCAACACAAAAUUAAAGAUGCGAGAUCUCAGCGUGCUCAGAUGUCAGACUGCGUCCGCUCAGCGUUCCACCAGCACGGACCCCAAAGUGAGCUUCAGAGGCGGCAGCAGGUGCGACUCGUGGGAAAUAAAGUCUGGCUCUACGACGAGAAUCUCAAUGACACACUUCUGCUUGACAAACAGGACAGCGUCCCAGUGCAAUAACCUUAAACGUAAACCCACAC